rnacentral:lncRNA from 1 species
AAGUUAAAUGUCACGAUUUUUGGGAGGUAUUAUUUGGACCAAGUUAAACGUGAAGAUUUUGGGGAGGUAUUAUUUUGUCCAAGUUAAACGUGAAAGUUUUGGGGAGGUAUUAUUUUGUCCAAGUUAAACGUGAAGGUUUUGGGGAGGUAUUAUUUUGUCCAAGUUAAACGUGAAGGUUUUGGGGAGGCAUUAUUUUGUCCAAGUUAAACGUGAAGGUUUUGGGGAGGUAUUAUUUGGACCAAGUUAAAUGUCAAGAUUUUUGGUAGGUAUUAUUUGGACCAAGUUAAACGUGAAUUUCUUUUGGAGGUAUUAUUUGGACCAAGAUAAAUGUGAAGGUCUUUGGGAGGUAUUAUUUGGACCAAGUUAAACGUGAAUGUUUUGGGGAGGCAUUAUUUUGACCAAGUUAAAUGUCAAGAUUUUUGGGAGGUAUUAUUUGGACCAAGUUAAACAUGAAGGUCUUUGGGAGGUAUUAUUUGGACCAAGUUAAACGUGAAUGUUUUGUGCAGGUAUUAUUUUGACCAAGUUAAACGUGAAGGUUUUGGGGAGGCAUUAUUUUGACCAAGUUAAACGUGAAGGUUUUGGGGAGUUAUUAUUUGGACCAAGAUUUUGGGGAGGUAUUAUUUGGACCAAGUUCAUUGUCAAGAUUUUGGGGAGGCAUUAUUUUGACCAAGUUAAACGUGAAGGUUUUGGGGAGUUAUUAUUUGGACCAAGUUCAUUGUCAAGAUUUUGGGGAGGUAUUAUUUGGACCAAGUUAAAUGUCAAGAUUUUUGGGAGGUAUUAUUUGGACCAAGUUAAACGUGAAGGUCUUUGGGGAGGCAUUAUUUGGAACAAGUUAAAACGUGAAGGUUUUGGGGAGGUAUUAUUUCAACCAACAUAAAGGUGAAGGCUUUGGGGAGGUAUUAUUUGGACCAAAUUCAACAAGAACGUUUUGGGGAGGUAUUAUUUGGACCAAGUUAAAUGUGAAGGUUUUGGGGAGGUGCUAUUUGGACCAAGUUAAAUGUCAAGAUUGGGGAGGUAUUAUUUAAACCAAGUUAAACGUGAAGAUUUUGGGGAGGCAUUAUUUGGACCAAAUUCAACAAAAAGGUUUUGGGGAGGCAUUAUUUGGACCAAGUUAAAUGUGAAGGUUUUGGGGAGACAUUAUUUGGACCAAGUUAAACGUGAUGGUCCUGGGAGCCAUUAUUUGGCCUAAGUUAAAUGUCAAGAUUUUGGGGAGGUAUUAUUUGGACCAAGUUAAAACGUGAAGAUUUUGGGGAGGCAUUAUUUGGGGUUUUAUUUAUUUUUGUGGUAGAAUGAUUUCUUCUCCAAGGUCUGUCUGCCCUGGCUGAAGUACAACGGGCAGAUCUGUUCCAUCCUCCUCUUAGAACUGUGGUGAAUCCAUCAAAAUAUUGCUAAGGUGCCUCCCUUUCCUUCAAUUCACUCUUAUCCUUUGAGGUGGUGGAAACUUAUAUAUAGAAGCUGUAUUAGCAUUUUUAAUUUGUGAGAGUUACUGUUUUGCUAGACUUGUAAGAGAGCUAGGUUACGUCCCAAAUGGGACCCUAUUCCCAACAGUGCACUGCUUUUGACCAGAGCGCCAUGGGACCUGGUUGAAAGUAGUGCACUAUGUAGGGAACAGGGUGAUGUUUGAGAUGCAACCUUAAAACUGGUAUACCAAGUUUUGCUUUUUGUGUUUGUUUUCAGUUACGUACAUGUCACACUCCCUGCCUCAUGGCUGGACAGGCGUUUAUAUAGCUCAAGUUCUGCAAGUUACAUUUUCAUACAAAAUACACAAUGCCUUUCUAUUUCAUGUACCAUUAAAUUACAUAACCACUCUAUGUUUUUUUUUAUCUCAUUGAGUUAAAAUAUAUUUUACAAGAGAGACCUGUAAAGGGAGUACAAGGGGAAUGAUGUUAUUUCAAUGCCAUUGCUAUUCGCAGAAAUGUGGAAAGAUAAAUGUUCCACUGCUCUGUGAUAAGGAAAUACCAUCUGGAGCUCCUCCCUGAUCCACAAGAUAAAGACAUAGAGAGGGAGAGAGAGAGAGAGAGGAGAGGAGAAAUAAAGAGAGAGAUGAGAGAGAUAAAGAGAGAGAGAGGGAGGAGAGGAGAAAGAGAGAGACAGAAAGAGAGAGGAACGGAGAGAGAGGAGAGAGAGAGAGAGAAAGAGGAGAGGAGAAAUAAAGAGAGAGAGAGUAAAAAGACAGAUGAGAGAUAAAGAGAGAGAGAGAAAGAGGAGAAAUAAAGACAGAGGGAGGAGAGCGAUAGAGGGAGGAAAAAGAGAGCGAGAGGGAGGAGAGGAGAAAGAGAGACAGAAAGAGAGAGGAACGGAGAGAGGGGAGAGAGAGAGAGAGAAAGGGGAAAGGAGAGAUAAAGAAAGAGGGAGGAGAGAAGAAAUUGUAACUGGAGGAUUUAUAGUAAAAUAUGUCUAGUGAGAUCUAUCUCUCUUCAACAUCAGAUCACAAGUAUCUAUCCGGACCUAGUUUGAGUAGUGUAGUGUAUAGAGGCCCUAACUUCAUGGCCAGGUCUCCUUGCUUUCCUUGACCUUAAACCUCUAUUAAUUUAUUAUGACAUCCACGGUACUAAGUCAGCUGAUGACGUGCUAUCAAACACAUUGAUACGGUUGGCACUGAAAUCAAACCAUCAUAGUUUUAAUGACGUAUUACAGUUGGGGUCAAAUAUAUUGGCACUCUUGCAUGAUUCACUAUUUCUUCGAGAAUAAGUUGAAAUUUUAGAAAUGUAAAAUUCAUUUGAAUUUGGUUGGAGGCAAUGAUUGUCAUUUAGUGUGCACAUGAUCUAACCUGUGGUACAUUGCGGGUACCUACAAGGUAAAAGGAGCCCUUCAACCAGUUUUAAAAAAGAGGAAACUGAACAUUCUUUGAGGGUGCCAAUAUAUCAGAGCGAAUCUGUUUAUGUUUAGGGAAUAAACUGCAGCCAGCCAACGUAAAGGUAGAAUUAUUAAAGUAUGCAUCCCAAUUGGCACCCCAUUCCCUUUAUAGGGCACUACACUAUGGGUUGUGGUCAAAAGUAGUGCACUAUGUAGGGUUUUCAGGUCGUGUUGUGUACAGUAUACAGUACAAUGACAGAAAUGUUUUUUUUUGUAUUGGUGAUUUUCUUCUGAAGUUAUAUUAUACUGUAGAUGUUAAAUUAAUACAAUACAUUUCCAC